UGAAACCUUCUCUUUGGCGACCAGCUC
rnacentral:piRNA from 1 species